rnacentral:rRNA from 1 species
GUGCCAGCCGCUGCGGUAAUACGAAGGGGGCUAGCGUUGCUCGGAAUGACUGGGCGUAAAGGGCGUGUAGGCGGUUUGUACAGUCAGAUGUGAAAUCCCCGGGCUUAACCUGGGAGCUGCAUUUGAGACGUGCAGACUAGAGUGUGAGAGAGGGUUGUGGAAUUCCCAGUGUAGAGGUGAAAUUCGUAGAUAUUGGGAAGAACACCGGUGGCGAAGGCGGCAACCUGGCUCAUUACUGACGCUGAGGCGCGAAAGCGUGGGGGAGCAAAACAGGAUUAAGAUAACCCUGGUAAGUCCAACGCUGUAAAACGAUGUGUGCU